rnacentral:rRNA from 1 species
UAUCCGCCUGGGAACUACGAGCACCAGCUUAAAACCCAAAGGACUUGGCGGUGCUUUAGAUCCUACUAGAGGAGCCUGUUCUAGAACCGAUAACCCCCGUUCAACCUCACCUUUCCUUGUUUUUACCGCCUAUAUACCGCCGUCGUCAGCCCACCCUAUGAAGGUUUAAAAGUAGGCUAAAUUGGCAUGGCCCAGAACGUCAGGCCGAGGUGUAGCGUAUGGAAGGGGAAGAAAUGGGCUACAUUCCCUAUUUUAGGGCACACGAAUGAUACGCUGAAACGCGCAUCUUGAAGGAGGAUUUAGCAGUAAGCAGGAAGUAGAGCGUCCUGC